GUGCUUACUUUGGCAACAUUUACACUAAAAUUGGAAUGAUAUAGAGAAGAUUAGAAUAGCCCCUGUGUAAGGAAGCAAAUUUGUGAAGCAUUCCACAUUUUU
ensembl:snRNA U6 U6 spliceosomal RNA